CCUGCGGAGGGAUCAUUACUGAGUUGCAAAACUCCCAAACCCACGCGUAUCUACCUAUGUCGUUGCUUCGGCGGCGCCGUCCCCAGGUGCUCCGGCGCCGCGGGGGCGCCCGCCGGAGGUUCUAAACUCUCUGUAUCACUGUGGACUCUCUGAGAAAACAUACCAAUAAUCAAAACUUUCAACAACGGAUCUCUUGGUUCUGGCAUCGAUGAAGAACGCGGCGAAAUGCGAUAAGUAAUGUGAAUUGCAGAAUUCAGUGAAUCAUCGAAUCUUUGAACGCACAUUGCGCCCGCCAGCAUUCUGGCGGGCAUGCCUGUCCGAGCGUCAUUUCAACCCUCAGGCCCAGCCUGGCGUUGGGGCACCGCGCAGCGCGCGCGGGCCCUGAAAUACAGUGGCGAGCCCGCCUGGACUCCGAGCGUAGUAGUGUAACAGCCUCGCUCAGGGCGUCCCGGCGCGCGUCGGCCGUAAAACCCCCCAACUAUCAAAGGUUGACCUCGGAUCAGGUAGGAAUACCCGCUGAACUUAAGCAUAUC
rnacentral:rRNA from 1 species